UAUAAAUAGGACAAGAAAGGUGCAGUUACAAUCAGUGGGCCAGACCUGCAGCUGGUGUAAACUGGAACCGCUACCACUGAAGUCAAUGGAGCUACAGCAAUUGACAAUCUGGCCCAGUGCCUUAUCAGGUCAUUAUUCAAUUAUCUGAGAUGCAUACUGCCCUUGGACUGCCUGUUACAUCUACCAGAAGAUGCCAGAAGUUUAGAAGUCAGAGCUAGUCCUUUCUCAACAACAACAACAAAAGAACAUUAGUCUACUGGCUCUGCCACAAGUGGGAGUUUUAACAUUUUUGAUGUGAUGCCCAAAUGUGGAAAUUAUCAGCUACCCACUCAAAGAAGACUACAGUGGAGCAAAGUUGAUAUAGGACCUAUGCUAAGCAAAAAGGACAAACAACAGAAUACUUUGCACCCAUUGCUGCAUGUGCAUAUGAACAGUCCAAGGAGACCAAUUCCAUUUAGGAAGUGCUGCCCUGGUUCCGCAAUGGCCAGCAUUCUGGGUCUGGGACGAGCAGUCAAAAAAAAUAUUAUUUAUUAAGAUUGAUGGGGCAAGAGCAAUGGAAAACUCUGGAUUUGGAGUACAGGGAGUCAGCAGCCGAAGUCUUCUUGUGCGGUGAAGGACACAGAAGCAACUGCUGCUCCAAUCACAGGCAGUUCUCUCACUUCCCCUAAAAAUAUUUAAUAUCAGCACUGAAGAAGGGUCUAUAUAUUAAGGCCAAUCAGAUUCUCAGGAUAUUCCAGACAUAUGCUCUGCUCCUCUUCUUAUAGGCUUCAACUACUUUAAUGUACUGUAUUCUAAUGAGAAAAACUGACCACUUAACAUGUGUAAUUAAAUAAUAUUAAAAAUACUUUUCCAACUA